rnacentral:rRNA from 1 species
UACAGAGGUCCCAAGCGUUGUUCGGAUUCACUGGGCGUAAAGGGUGCGUAGGUGGUGAGGUAAGUCGGAUGUGAAAGCUCGGAGCUCAACUCCGAAAUGGCAUUGGAAACUACCUCGCUCGAGGGUUGGAGGGGGACUGGAAUGCUUGGUGUAGCAGUGAAAUGCGUAGAUAUCAGGAGGAACACCGGUGGCGAAGGCGGCUACCUGGACAGAAACUGACGCUGAGGCACGAAAGCUAGGGGAGCAAACAGG